CCACUAAGGUCAAAAGAAGGCAUUAGAUCACCUGGAGUUAAAGUCACAUACAUUUGAAAGCAGCCUGACAUGGUCACUGAGACUUGAACUCCUAGAUCAUGGAGCUAUCUCAGCCCCAGGAGGCUUCAUGGGCAGAGGAAUGCCUGGUGGACACUCAAGACCAAGAAUGACCAAGAAUGUUGAGCCAUAAAGAAAGAGAUGGUUGUAUCAGACUGCUCAGUGUCUACACUGCAUUACCAAGUUCUCCCAGUUUGCCAAUUAAUUUUGAAAGCCAUGAGACAUGGAGAGCUGUAGUAUUAACA